GAUGAACGCUGGCGGCGUGCCUAAUACAUGCAAGUCGAGCGAACAGACGAGGAGCUUUCUCCUCUGACAUUAGCGUCGCGCGGGUGAGUAACACGUGGAUAACCUACCUCUUAGACUGGGGUACAUUAGGUGGACCGGAGCUCUUACCGCGCAAUCUAUUCAACCGCAUCAUCCAGGAUUGAUAGACGGUUUUCCUUUUUCUUAAACUUUGACCCGCGCCGCAUUAGCUGGUUGGUAAGGUAACGGCUUACGAAGGCAACGAUGCGAAGCCGACCUGAGAGGGUGAUCGCCCACACUGGAACGGAGAAACGGUCCAGCCUCCAACGGGAGGCAGCAGUAGGGAAUCUUCCGCAAUGGGCGAAGUCCUGACGGAGAAACGCGGCGUGAGUGAUGAAGGUCUUCGGAUCUUAAAACUUUGUUAUUAGGGAAGAACAAAUGUGUAAGUAAAGAUGCAGGUAUUGACGGUACCUAAAUAGAAAGCCACGGCUAACUACGUG
rnacentral:rRNA from 1 species